UAAUACAGAGGGUGCGAGCGUUAAUCGGAAUUACUGGGCGUAAAGCGUGCGUAGACGGUUAUUUAAGUCGGGUGUGAAAGCCCCGGGCUCAACCUGGGAAUUGCAUUCGAGACUGAAUAGCUAGGGUACGGUAGAGGGAAGUGGAAUUUCCGGUGUAGCGGUGAAAUGCGUAGAUAUCGGAAGGAACAUCAGUGGCGAAAGCGACUUCCUGGACCAGUACCGACGUUCAGGCACGAAAGCGUGGGGAGCAAACAG
rnacentral:rRNA from 1 species